rnacentral:rRNA from 1 species
GAUGAACGCUGGCGGCGUGCCUAAUACAUGCAAGUCGAGCGAACAGACGAGGAGCUUGCUCCUCUGACGUUAGCGGCGGACGGGUGAGUAACACGUGGAUAACCUACCUAUAAGACUGGGAUAACUUCGGGAAACCGGAGCUAAUACCGGAUAAUAUAUUGAACCGCAUGGUUCAAUAGUGAAAGACGGUUUUGCUGUCACUUAUAGAUGGAUCCGCGCCGCAUUAGCUAGUUGGUAAGGUAACGGCUUACCAAGGCAACGAUGCGUAGCCGACCUGAGAGGGUGAUCGGCCACACUGGAACUGAAACACGGUCCAGACUACUACGGGAGGCAGCAGUAGGGAAUCUUCCGCAAUGGGCGAAAGCUUGACGGAGCAACGCCGCGUGAGUGAUGAAGGUCUUCGGAUCGUAAAACUCUGUUAUGAGGGAAGAACAAAUGUGUAAGUAACUAUGCACGUCUUGACGGUACCUAAUCAGAAAGCCACGGCUAACUACGUG